AAUGAGCUCACACCAUUUCAGCUUCAGCAUCAAUCAUGUUCGCUCUGAUACUGCUGCUGGCUGCUGGAUCAUGUGUGUACAGUAUUGAUCUCAUCCAACCAGAUUCAAGGGUUAUGCAGCCUGGACAGUCUUUGACCAUCACCUGUCAGGUCUCUGGUUAUUCUAUAACUAGCU